rnacentral:rRNA from 1 species
AGAGUUUGAUCCUGGCUCAGGAUGAACGCUGGCGGCGUGCCUAAUACAUGCAAGUCGAGCGGAAAGGUUCUGCACUUAUUAUUUGAACGGAUCAGUCUGUCAUAAAAAGCGGAUACUGUCUGAAAACGUCUUCGUUGGCUAAUGAAGAGGGUCGAAUAAUGGGUGUAGAAUACUCGAGCGGCGGACGGGUGAGUAACGCGUAGGAAUGUACCCCAAAGUGAGGGAUAAGCACCGGAAACGGUGUCUAAUACCGCAUAGUCUCCACGGAGUAAAGCUUUAUGCGCUUUGGGAACAGCCUGCGUCUGAUUAGCUAGUUGGUAAGGUAACGGCUUACCAAGGCGACGAUCAGUAGCUGGUUUGAGGGGAUGAUCAGCCACACUGGAACUGAGACACGGUCCAGACUCCUACGGGAGGCAGCAGUAGGGAAUUUUCCACAAUGGGCGAAAGCCUGAUGGAGCAACGCCGCGUGCAGGAUGAAGGCCUUAGGGUUGUAAACUGCUUUUAUAUGUGACGAUUUUGACGGUAGCAUAUGAAUAAGGAUCGGCUAACUCCGUGCCAGCAGCCGCGGUCAUACGGAGGAUCCAAGCGUUAUCCGGAAUUACUGGGCGUAAAGAGUUGCGUAGGUGGCUAUGUAAGCAGGGUAUGAAAGCGUGUGGCUCAACCAUACAGCUAUGUCCUGAACUGCAUUGGCUAGAGAACGAGAGAGGUAGAUGGAAUUGCUAGUGUAGGAGUGAAAUCCGUAGAUAUUAGCAGGAACACCGAUGGCGUAGGCAGUCUACUGGCUCGUUUCUGACACUAAGGCACGAAAGCGUGGGGAGCAAACAGGAUUAGAUACCCUGGUAGUCCACGCCGUAAACUAUGGAUGCUAGCUGUUAGAAGUAUCGACCCUUCUAGUAGCGUAGCUAACGCGUUAAGCAUCCCGCCUGUGGAGUACGGUCGCAAGACUAAAACAUAAAGGAAUUGACGGGGACCCGCACAAGCGGUGGAGCGUGUUGUUUAAUUCGAUGGUAAGCGAAGAACCUUACCCAGGCUUGACAUCCCUUGGAAUUUCUCCGAAAGGAGAGAGUGUCUUCGGAAGCCAAGUGACAGGUGUUGCAUGGCCGUCGUCAGCUCGUGUCGUGAGAUGGAAGAA